UUCUGACCGUAAACGAUGCCAACUAGCGAUCCGCCGGUGGCUUCCAAGCCCUGGUGGGGAGCUUCCCGGAAACGAAAGUCUUCCGGUUCCGGGGGAAGUAUGGUUGCAAAGCUGAAACUUAAAGGAAUUGACGGAAGGGCACCACCAGGAGUGGAGCCUGCGGCUUAAUUUGACUCAACACGGGAAAACUCACCCGGCCCGGACACCGUAAGGAUUGACAGAUUGAUAGCUUUUUCAUGAUUCGGUGGUUGGUGGUGCAUGGCCGUUCUUAGUUCGUGGAUCGAUUUGUCUGGUUUAUUCCGAUAACGAGCGAGACUCUAGCCUACUAACUAGUACGAGCAUUGCUUCUGUGCUCGGCACUUCUUAGAGGGAUUGGCUGCGUCUAGCGGCACGAAACAGAGCAAUAACAGGUCUGUGAUGCCCUUAGAUGUCCGGGGCUGCACGCGCGCUACACUGGCAAAGGCAGCGUGCUUGUCCGUCUCCGAAAGGAGCCGGUAAACCCUUGAAAAUUUGCCGUGAUUGGGAUCGGAAAUUGCAAUUAUUUUCCGUGAACGAGGAAUUCCUAGUAAGUGCGAGUCAUCAGCUCGCGUUG
rnacentral:rRNA from 4 species